rnacentral:rRNA from 1 species
GACGAACGCUGGCGGCGUGCCUAACACAUGCAAGUCGAACGAAGAAUGUUUUUCGGAAUAUUCUUAGUGGCGGACGGGUGAGUAACGCGUGAACAAUCUGCCCCGUACAAAGGGAUAGCCUCGGGAAACCGGGAUUAAAACCAUAUAACACUUAACUGCCGCAUGGUAGUGAAGUCAAAAUCGAUUAAGAGGUAUGGGAUGAGUUCGCGUCUGAUUAGCUAGUUGGUGAGGUAAGGGCUCACCAAGGCGACGAUCAGUAGCCGGCCUGAGAGGGUGAACGGCCACACUGGAACUGAGACACGGUCCAGACUCCUACGGGAGGCAGCAGUGGGGAAUAUUGCACAAUGGAGGGAACUCUGAUGCAGCGACGCCGCGUGAGUGAAGAAGGUCUUCGGAUCGUAAAACUCUGUCCUUGGUGAAGAAAAGGACGGUAGCCAAGGAGGAAGCCCCGGCUAACUACGUGCCAGCAGCCGCGGUAAAAGUCAACGUCG